rnacentral:rRNA from 1 species
UACAGAGGGUGCGAGCGUUAAUCGGAAUUACUGGGCGUAAAGCGUGCGUAGACGGUUACAUAAGUCGGGUGUGAAAGCCCCGGGCUCAACCUGGGAAUUGCAUUCGAGACUGCGUAGCUAGGGUGCGGAAGAGGGAAGCGGAAUUUCCGGUGUAGCGGUGAAGUGCGUAGAUAUCGGAAGGAACACCAGUGGCGAAAGCGGCUUCCUGGUCCAGCACCGACGUUCAGGCACGAAAGCGUGGGGAGCAAACAGG